UUUCUUUAUUCAUUUCUUGUUUCCAUUCGAGCAGACAGUGCUCAAUACCUCACUGAUGAGAAUGGAGAGGUGACCUCUCAUUUGAUCGGUCUUUUCAGUCGAACAGUUAGAUGGAUUGACGUUGGGAUUCGCCCUG
rnacentral:ribozyme from 1 species